rnacentral:lncRNA from 1 species
CUUCUUCUACAGCUUCCAGUUUAAGCUUCAAGCUUUCACUCUCAGACAACAACAGCUCAAUCUUUGAAGAUAACUCCUCUGUUACUGAUUUUAGUUUUACAUCAGACUCAUCUCUGAGGUCCCUCAAGACCCUUUUCUCUUCUUCUACAGCUUCCAGUUUAAGCUUCAAGCUUUCACUCUCAGACAACAACAGCUCAAUCUUUGAAGAUAAUUCCUCUGUUACUGAUUUUAGUUUUACAUCAGACUCAUCUCUGAGGUCCCUCAAGACCCUUUUCUCUUCUUCUACAGAUUCCAGUUUAAGCUUCAAGCUUUCACUCUCAGACAACAACAGCUCAAUCUUGGAAGAUAACUCCUCUGUUACUGAUUUUAGUUUUACAUCAGACUCAUCUCUGAGGUCCCUCAAGACCCUUUUCUCUUCUUCUACAGAUUCCAGUUUAAGCUUCAAGCUUUCACUCUCAGACAACAACAGCUCAAUCUUGGAAGAUAACUCCUCUGUUACUGAUUUUAGUUUUACAUCAGACUCAUCUCUGAGGUCCCUCAAGACCCUUUUCUCUUCUUCUACAGAUUCCAGUUUAAGCUUCAAGCUUUCACUCUCAGACAACACCAGCUCAAUCUUGGAAGAUAACUCCUCCGUUACUGAUUUUAGUUUUACAUCAGACUCAUCUCUGAGGUCCAUCAAGACCCUAUUCUCUGCUUCUACAGCUUCCAGUUUAAGCUUCAAGCUUUCACUCUCAGACAACACCAGCUCAAUCUUGGAAGAUAACUCCUCCGUUACUGAUUUUAGUUUUACAUCAGACUCAUCUCUGAGGUCCAUCAAGACCCUCUUCUCUUCUUCUACAGCUUCCAGUUUAAGCUUCAAGCUUUCACUCUCAGACAACACCAGCUCAAUCUUGGAAGAUAACUCCUCCGUUACUGAUUUUAGUUUUACAUCAGACUCAUCUCUGAGGUCCAUCAAGACCCUCUUCUCUUCUUCUACAGCUUCCAGUUUAAGCUUCAAGCUUUCACUCUCAGACAACACCAGCUCAAUCUUUGAAGAUAACUCCUCCGUUACUGAUUUUAGUUUUACAUCAGACUCAUCUCUGAGGUCCAUCAAGACCCUCUUCUCUUCUUCUACAGCUUCCAGUUUAAGCUUCAAGCUCUCAUUCUCAGAUAACAACAGCUCAAUCUUUGAAGAUAACUCCUCCGUUACCGAUUUUAGUUUUACAUCAGACUCAUCUCUGAGAUCCGUCAAGAUCCUCUUCUCUUCUUCUACAGCUUCCAGUUUAAGCUUCAAGCUCUCAUUCUCAGAUAACAACAGCUCAAUCUUUGAAGAUAACUCCUCCGUUACUGAUUUUAGUUUUACAUCAGACUCCUCUCUGAGGGCCAUUAAGCCCCUUUUCUCUU